UGUGCACCAGUGGGGUCCCUUGGCCUGGCCUGUGCCCUCUUGCAAUCUGGGACCCCUCGGUGGAUGUCAGAGAGCUGGUUUUAACCUGAUCCCGCAGGCCAGGCCAAGGGACCCCACUGGUGCACA
rnacentral:pre_miRNA from 1 species